rnacentral:rRNA from 1 species
AACGAACGCUGGCGGCGCGUCUUAAGCAUGCAAGUCGAGCGGCAAGGGCAGCAAUGCCCCUAGAGCGGCGGACUGGUGAGUAACGCGUGGGUGAUCUACCUGUGGGUUGGGGAUAGCCAUUAGAAAUAGUGGGUAAUACCGAAUACGGUCGCCGGACUGUGGUCUGGCGAAGAAAGGAGCUACGGCUCCGCCCGGAGAUGAGCCCGCGUCCCAUUAGCUAGUUGGGGGUGUAACGGACCACCAAGGCGAUGAUGGGUAGCCGGACUGAGAGGUUGAACGGCCACAUUGGGACUGAGAUACGGCCCAAACUCCUACGGGAGGCAGCAGCUAAGAAUAUUCCGCAAUGGACGAAAGUCUGACGGAGCGACGCCGCGUGGAUGACGAAGGCCGAAAGGUUGUAAAGUCCUUUUGUCGACGAAGAAUAAACGCGGGAGGGAAUGCCCGCGCUAUGACGUUAGUCGGCGAAUAAGCCCCGGCUAAUUACGUGCCAGCAGCCGCAGUAAAAC